UAAAUAAAUAUCUAUGUAUUUAAUUUCAACAACUUGCACAUUCUAGGACACACUAGUCACUACCGUUUUAUAUAGUAGUUCCCCAUCACAUUCUGAACACACCAAUUUUCGAAUGGGAAAUAUUUGGUUAAUUUACUUAUUAUCCCCCAUAAUCCUGACAGCCCUCUACAGCAUAUCCCUUCAUAUAGUGAAUAAAGUGAAAAGGCUGCCUCCGAGCCCGUUCCCGGCCCUCCCUCUCAUCGGCCACAUCUACCUCCUCAAGAGACCCUUCCACAGGAGCCUCUCCCACGUGUCGCGACGCCACGGCCCGGCCCUCUUCCUCCGCCUCGGCUCCCGGCCCGUUCUCCUCAUCUCAUCGCCAUCUCUUGCCGAGGAAUGCCUCACCAAGAAGAAUGACGUCAUCUUCGCCAACCGCCCCGAUCUCCUCAACGGCAGAUAUUUCGGCUACGACUACACGAGCCUCUCGUGGUCGUCGUACGGCCACCACUGGAGAAACCUCAGGCGGAUUUCGUCUCUGGAGCUGCUCUCCACGCAAAGGCUGCAGACGCUGUCGCAUGUUCGGGCCGACGAGGCCUCCAGCCUGGCCCGAAAGCUCUAUCGUCUCACCAAGGAUGAGCCCGAGAAGGUUCUCGAAGUCAAAUCGGCCCUCUUCGAGUUCACUUUCAAUGUGCUGACCAGGAUGAUCACGGGCAAGAGGUAUUACGGGAGGAGCGUGGAGAACUCGAGCGAAGCCAAGGUGCUGGAGGAGAUAGCGGCGGCCACGUCGGAGGUGGCGUUCGAGACGAAUGUCGUGGAUUUCCUGCCGUUGAUGCGGUGGUUUGGAUUCCGAGAGGUGGAGAAGAAGCUGAUGGCGAUACACGAGAAGAGAGACAAGUUUAUGCAGUCUGUGAUUGAUGAGAAUCGGGAGAAUAGAGAUGAUGAUGAUGAUGCGAUGAGGAAGAAGACUAUGGUGGAAGUGUUGCUCGAUUUGCAGAGAUCGGAUCCUCACUAUUACACGGAUCAAACCAUCAAGAGUCUCCUCUUGGUGCUGCUCCAAGGAGGAACCUCAACUUCAACAAUCGCCCUAGAAUGGGCAUUUUCUCUGCUGCUGGACAAUCCAGAAACCCUAAAAAAAGCGCAAUCCGAAAUCGACGGCCACGUGGGAUGCAGGCGGUUGAUCGCGGAAUCGGACGUGGCGGAGCUGCCGUAUCUCCGGCACAUCAUCCUAGAGGCGAUGCGGCUGCACCCUCCGGUGUCCAUAGUGAUGCCGCACCUCUCGUCGUCGGAGUGCGCGGUGGGCGGCUACCGGGUACCGGCGGGGACGGUCUUGCUGGUGAAUUUGUGGGAAAUCCACAACAGCCCCAAAAUAUGGGCCGACCCGGAGACUUUCAGGCCCGAACGCUUUGAGGGAGUGGAUGUGAAGAAGGAUUUGGGGCUGCAGUUUUUCCCUUUCGGGUCGGGUAGACGGGCCUGCCCGGGCGAGAACUUGGCCAACUUGAAUAUCGGGCUGGGCCUCGGAUCCUUGAUCCAGUGUUUCCAAUGGGACAAAGUUGGGGAGAUUGAUAUGACCGAAGGUGCUGGAACCACAACGCCUAAGGUUCAACCAUUAAUGGCUAAAUCUAAAGGGCAUGUGUGGUGAGGUGGGGGCAGCAAGCAGUCCAAGCCUGUGACAUUAAAGUAUGAGCAGAGUGAUUGUGUGUGUGCCCUAUGCUCUAAGGAAUGUCUUGCAAAUUCCAAAACCUGUUUUGUUUUCUUCACUUGUUGUGAGAUCUUAACUCAACUCACACAAAAUUCAGUGUUUGUAUUGAAAUUGUGAAGAUGACAGGAACAGACAAUGUAGAUGUGGAAUGCAGUGAAAAUAAGGUUGAAGGAGAAGAUAGUUGGAGGACUGUGAACUGUUUAAGAGGGAGAUUGCUUGCUGAGAGAAUGGCUUCCAAAAAUGCUAGGGAGGAGGCAGACCAAUUGGGGAUUAGGGUAUAAUAAUCUAAUCAAAGUUUCAUCAUGUUCAAUUUGAUUACUUAUUUUUGGUCCUUAUUUAUGUUCAUAGCUGUUGGAAGUCGAAAGGCUGUUAGAGCAAGAGGCGAAAUUCAGAAACAGAGCUGAGAAGAAGCUGAAAUUCCUGAUGAAGAGGCUUCAAUCCUCUGCAUCUACUUCAACAACCGAAGAAGUUCAAAAACUGGAAAUUAUGCGAAAAGAGAUAGUUAAAUCCGUAGAUCUGGAGGAAUUUAAUGAUUCACAACUGAUUUCAUGGAGUGUGAGUGAGUCUACUUACUCAAUAAUAGGAUCAAAUGAAUACUCAAAAAUGGAAUCAUCAUCCGCUGAUGAAGGCGUGGAUAAUUCGAUGGCCUUAGUUGCGGUGGAAACGUCGUCGGAAAAGGAGAGGGUGGAUCCGGAAAUUCUGGAUGCGACGGUGAAACAGGUGCUGGAAUCAUUGAGGCGUGCAAAGGAGCAGCUUCGGAGCUCAAUGGAGAGAAGGCGCAGCAUGAGCAUAGGCAUGAUUAAAGUUGGCUAGAUUAUCAUUUUGUAGAUAUGUUAAAUAACCAAUGAUGGAGAGCUUGUAUGAAUUUUUCAUUCCAUGUUUUCUUCUCAUCAUUAUGCAAUCAACUAUACGGAAUUAGCAUGUAAUUAAUGUAGCAUUUGUGUUUAGUUUA